rnacentral:tRNA from 1 species
UAUGAUGUGCCUGAAAAAGGAUUAUUUUGAUAGAAUAAAUUAUAUAUUAAUAAUUAAUAUCUUCAUAU